UACAGAGGAUGCAAGCGUUAUCCGGAAUGAUUGGGCGUAAAGCGUCUGUAGGUGGCUUUUUAAGUCCGCCGUCAAAUCCCAGGGCUCAACUCUGGACAGGCGGUGGAAACUACCAAGCUUGAGUACGGUAGGGGCAGAGGGAAUUUCCGGUGGAGCGGUGAAAUGCGUAGAGAUCGGAAAGAACACCAACGGCGAAGGCAGCUCGCUGGGACGUGACUGACGCUGAGACGCGAAAGCGUGGGGAGCAAACAGG
rnacentral:rRNA from 1 species